rnacentral:rRNA from 1 species
AGUGAACGCUGGCGGUAGGCCUAACACAUGCAAGUCGAACGGCAGCACAGUAAGAGCUUGCUCUUACGGGUGGCGAGUGGCGGACGGGUGAGGAAUACAUCGGAAUCUACUUUUUCGUGGGGGAUAACGUAGGGAAACUUACGCUAAUACCGCAUACGACCUACGGGUGAAAGCAGGGGAUCUUCGGACCUUGCGCGAUUGAAUGAGCCGAUGUCGGAUUAGCUAGUUGGCGGGGUAAAGGCCCACCAAGGCGACGAUCCGUAGCUGGUCUGAGAGGAUGAUCAGCCACACUGGAACUGAGACACGGUCCAUACUCCUACGGGAGGCAGCAGUGGGGAAUAUUGGACAAUGGGCGCAAGCCUGAUCCAGCCAUACCGCGUGGGUGAAGAAGGCCUUCGGGUUGUAAAUCCCUUUUGUUGGGAAAGAAAAGCAGCAGGUUAAUACCCCGCUGUUCUGACGGUACCCAAAGAAUAAGCACCGGCUAACUUCGUG